UAAAUAUUGUAGUUUAAACAACUGGAUUAACGUUAUUUUACCGUGAUCUUCUCCCUGUAGAUGCUGUAGCCAACCUCAAGAGGGCGUUGAACUGGUUAGCACUACUUUUCGGAUCCCUUCUCCAUCGAGGCCUCAUGAAUCUCAGCCACAGGACCUGUACAUUUCCGAGUCCCAGGAUGAAGCGUAUUAUGGGGAAACAGACAGCGAUGGAGAAAGUGCUGUGGGAACUCGAUUGGUCCGGACCCAAAUUCAAAUACCUGCAUCUAGGAGUAAAGAAAGAGGAACUUAUGCACAAGUCGGCGGAGGAUCUGUGGUCGAACUGCAGCUCUCGUUGUCCAAGACCACCCUGAAGGAACCGGAUUGUACUGCACUAGGUAGUGCAUGUGGAGUUGUGGGAGAUGUUUAUCACAGGGAAACGGAUGAGAGCAUCAUCUCUCCAGAAAUCCCGCUUUAUGUUCCCAGACAAAACCGGCAACCCCUUGGUCAGCGGGGUGUGUUGAUUAGCAAAGCCAGUUGUUUGCCAGGACAGGUGGAGGUAACAGUGCAGCAGAUUUCUGCUUCAGGAAAGGAGGGGGGGAAGGCCAGUGAACGGUUGGAUUCUGGUGGGGAAGAAGGAGGGAACAUUGAAGAAGCUCCCACCUCCUCCUCUGUGUCCUUUGGACUUCCCUCAGAGGAGUGGGACUCCGAAUCGGAGCGGGAGGUCUACCAGCCCAACAAGCACCGGGCAAGGCACGCCAGGCUCCGGCGCAGUGAGAGUCUUUCAGAGAAGCAGGUGAAAGAGGCCAAGUCCAAAUGCAAGCGCAUUGCUCUUCUGCUGUCUGCUCCGGCCCCCAACCCCAAUAAUAAGGGGGUGUUGAUGUUUAAGAAGCAUAGACAAAGAGCCAAGAAGUAUACUCUUGUCAGCUACGGUACUGGUGAGGACGAGUCCGAUUAUAAAGACGAAUACGACGACAGUGACAAGGAGGAACAUGCUGUUGAGUUCACUGUCCUAGCCACAAGUGAAAAAGAAAUUGGUACCGAUUUCUUCACCAAUGCCUCAGCUCAGAAAAGUAUUGUGAGCUUUGAUUGGGAUACUGGAUUACUCGAGAUAGAACGCAAGCUUGACAACCAGCAGGAUAUGGAAGCUCUGCCUGAGACCAAGGGUAAAGGAGCACUCAUGUUUGCCCAGCGCAAACAGCGCAUGGAUGAGAUAGUAGCUGAGCAUGAAGAGCUGAGACGUAAGGGGAUCCCUGUUGAAGCAGUGCAGGAGCCUGAGACUCAUCAAACAUACCAACACAUGGAGGAGCAUGCUUAUAUGCAUGCCCAAGAGACCCAGAAUUACAUGGAUGUAAAUUUACACCACAGCAUGUCUGCUCAAAAGCAGCAACAGCAACAGCAACAACAAUAUCAUCAGUACCAAGAACAAUACUAUCAACAGCAGCAGCAGCAGCAGCAGUAUCAAGACUACCAACAGCAGCUACAAUACCAACAACAACAACAACAUCAGUAUCAACAACAGCAAGAAUAUCAGCAGCAAAAAAUGUAUCAACAAAUGCAAUCAUACAAUCAGCAACAACACUUCCAACAGCAGAAAGUUGAACAGUACUCACAUCAAAUGAAUGGGAUGUAUGAUCAGCAAACGCAGAAUGAAAUGCAGGCAUCAGUAGCAAACAGGAGUGCCAAACCAUUUUCAACUCAAAACAGAGUAGCUGUUCCAUUUUCCUCCCCUCCAAAUGCAGACAAUCAAGAACAAUCUGGGUAUUCUUUAGGGCAAGGUGAACAGAUCGCCUCCCGUGAUGAGCGUAUAUCUGUACCUGCUAUCAAGACUGGUAUCUUGCAAGACACAAGGAGGAGGAAUGCCAGUAAACCUAUGUUCACUUUUAAAGAGUCUCCCAAGGUUUCACCUAAUCCCGCUCUGUUGAAUCUCCUUAACAGGAAUGACAAGAAAGCAGGUUUUGAGUCUUGCCCAGAAGAAGAUUAUUUAAGCUUAGGGGCUGAGGCAUGCAACUUUCUUCAGUCCCCUAAGAUGAAACACAAAACUCCACCUCCAGUAGCUCCGAAACCUCACAUUAACCCUGCUUCUCCUCCAUGGACUAGUCCAGAAAACGCUGACCAACCUAACACACUGCAAGUUGAAAACAGUGUCCCAGGACCUGCAGAAGCUCCAGUCACAAUGGCUGAUGCUGCUCCUGUCCCCACCCCUAAAUUGGGAGUCCAAGUCACGUCUGAAGAAGAACCUACGUUGGCCUCUGAAUCUCAUGAUGUUUCACACAGUCCUGAAGAACUUGCUCCAGCUCAUGCCUGGAAACAACCGGAAGCUCAGAUGGAGCAGAACCAGCAACCAGAAACCUGGAAUGAGAAACAGCCACAGCUACAAAUGAACUCUUCUCAUCCUGUGGCACCACCUGUUACCCAGUCAGAUCCAUCUGCCAGAUCGUGGGAUCCAGCCUUAACCCAAGGUCAUGAGCAGAAUCCAGUAAGUAGUUGGGGUCCAAAUGAAGUCCAAAUGCAAGUCCCAUCUCAAACACAGCCACAGUGGAUGACGCAAUCUCAAGCUCCUCCAGAGGUACAAUCACAAGUGCCUCCUAAAACUCAGUCCCAGCCUUCUUGGGUAACUCAGGUUCAAUCCUCACCCCAACUCAAGCAUCAGCCACAGCCUCAGUCCCAAAUAAAUGCUUGGGCACCAAAUCCAACAUCACAAGCCCCAUGGUCUCAACCAUCACAACCAUCUACUGGUGUUUGGCAACAAGAUCAAAAUCAAGCUCAAGAACAACCACCCUGGACCCAGGAGCAACAAUUCCAAGAAUCUCAGUUAAUGCCACAUUGGGCACCACCCCCUCAGCAACAGCCACAGCCUCCUUGGGCUCAACCUCAGAGGCAGACACAGCCACAGCCACCUUGGGUCUCUCAGGCCAAACAGCAAGAACCAGCACAGCCACCGGUAAAUGCAUGGACUCAAUCACAGAGUCCAAUUCAAGCACAGCCUCAAUGGCCUCAGCAGAGUCAACCACCGCCUCAGCCCACAGCACAAUUGCAGCAACCUGUGAAUCCUUGGACACAAAUGCCACCCCACCCCCAACCACAACCACACUGGGGACAAGAACCUACUUCUCAACAACACCCUCAACAAGUAAUGAACUCUUGGGCACCUGAGCAGAAUCAAAUUCAGCCUCCCUGGGCUCAAGGAAUGCCACCAACUCAUCCCCAGGCACAUCCUCCAUGGGUACCAAAACCUCAACAGCAAGCAUCACAGCCACCUGUGAGCCAAUGGGCACCACCACAGUCUCAACCAGCUGUAAAUACUUGGGCUCCCCAAAACCCACAAGGUUCAGUUGAAAGCCAAAAGUUGCCUGCCCAACCAAUUAAGCAGUGGAGUCCACCUCAGCCCACUCCUCCACGUCGAAUCAACUCGUAUACCACUGGGACAAAAGUACCAUCUCCCGUGCCAGCAAGCAGUACUGUGGCAUCCCAUGGUUUUGGUUCGGCUUUUGAGAUGCCGGCAUUGAAAGGGAAAGGGGCAGAACUUUUCGCCAAGAGGCAAUCCAGAAUGGAGAAGUACAUUGUGGAUUCUACCACAGUGCAGUCAAAUAAGGGACUCAGAAGCUCAUCCUUAUCUCCACCAGUCAGACUUCCAUCAGUGGGCCUCAAUGCCAGGUCAGUUUCAUCUUCUCCAUCACCCAGACACCCCUCACCCAGCAUCCGUCCCACCCCAGGACAAACUUUCACAAGAUCUCAAAAACCGCCCUCGCCCUGGGAAGCGGCUUCACGCCACCCGCUGGGACUCGUAGACGAAGCUUUCACGUUUCUGAACAUCCAGCAAUCCAUCGCCUCCAACCUGCGCUCCGCUGCUCAGAGUAAACGUUUACCUGAGCCGCCGGCCGAGUGGAAGGCAAAGGUUGCCUAUGAGCCUCCGCCGAAAAGCCAGAAAGACAGUAUAAGUCAAUCACCGUUGACUUUUCUGUCCCCGACCAAGAGCACGGCAUCAGCUCCGGCUGGGCCUGUCCCUUACGGAUCAGCCUUCAGACAGAUUCAACCACAACGGUCCAUGACGGUGGCUGAUCUCGGGGUCCCACAAGGAGAGAUAAAACAUACGGGACCCCGUCCGCUGAGGCUCUACAAAGCCAAAGACAGCAGCACAUGGAGGCGUUAG
rnacentral:lncRNA from 1 species